CUUUAGGCAUGGUGAUAUGGAUGCUUAACCUGAUGUGCCACUUCCUGGCCUCCCUUGGAGAUCUCUUCUCAAUGGUGCUUCCUUGUGUCAUUGAAUGGCUUUAAUUUUUUUUUUUUCCCUUGGGGGGGAAGGCUUCUUUCAGUGUUCUUGCUACCUGGAUCAAAGCUUUCAUCUCUCACUGUGAGACUCAGGUCUCUUUCCAUGUUUGUUUCUAUAUAUAGUGUGGCUUUGCUGUUGUGGGCAAAGGAAAUUAUAGAUCCUUUCAUUAGAUCUAACAGUCACUUCACUUUAUUGUUUUCCUUCAAAUUGGAUAUAAAACACGAGAGGCAAGAAUCAACUCAUGUGAACUUGGAAAAGAAUAUAACUUCAAAGUCUAAGCUGUAGGGUUAGUAUGAUUUUUAAAAGUACAUUUUGAAAAUAUUCCUAAUAGAAGAAAUACAGUCCAUAAAACUCAAAAUGCCUUGAGAUUGUUAUUGCAUAAUUGAAAAUGCCUAUAGUACAACAUAAUACAGACUGUUAAAGUUGGUACAAGUCUAUAGGCAUAAUUUUCCAGGCAGUAUUUAAUAAUUUAGUAGCCAGUUUUAUUUAUUUUUAUUUUUUAUUGGUGAUCUAAUAUUGAUUUACAAAAUUAUGAGAUAAUAGGGGUGUAGUUCCACAAAUCUCCUACCAUCAGAGUUCAGUGCCCUAGUCCCCUCCAUUUGAAACUGCAUUAGUCCUCCCAAGAUCACAGAUACGGACGAACUUUAAUAGCCAAUUUUUAAAAUUCAAAAUAUUUUGAUUUUAGGGUCGUCUUUGGGGCUUCACUAUUCUGGGCUGACUUUUUCAGACAUUGAACAGAGGAGGUGGAGAGGAGGAGCCUGCAGCACAGAAGUGGCCUUCAGCACAGUGGCGCUCAGACCCCGACCUGGGUUGCAUUUAUGGCAAAGCAGGACAGUUGUCAAGAAGAUUCAUGGAGCUUGGGGAAAUGUGGCCACCUACUGUGCUGAUUCCAUUUAAAAAUGUUGCUUGGCCUAAUCAUCGUAGAAGUAACAAAUAGCAUUUUCUCCAUGGAGAGUGAAGAUGCGGUUAGCUUGCCAACAAUGGAGAAAGCAUGGUUGUAGACAUUGCAUUCCGAGGAGGUAGAAGUCUUUUCUACAGAUGAACCAAUGAAAACUAUGGACAAAUAAAUAUGGGUGGAGAUGGAGGGGAGGCAAAAAUUCAAGUAUGAAGACUGGUUACACUUUGCAGUCAAGAAGAUGGAUUGAAAAAUCAGAAUCAGCUAAAAAUUAGAGUGGUUUCAUGUUACAGUGUGCAAGGACCUGAGUUCAGUGCCUCAGUCCCCACCUGCAAGCGUGGUUGGAGCUUCAUGAGCAUUGAAGCAGUGCAACAAGUGUCUUUCUCCUUCCUCUGUUCCCCUCCUUCAUUCUAGAUUUCCGCUUCUACCCAAUAAAUAAAAUAAAAUAAAAUAAAAAGUAGAGUGGUUGACUUGAUGUAAUACACAAACAUAUUGAUAUUAAUGAUGUAUAUCAGAAGCACAUGGCAUUAUAAUGGAAUGUGACUUCAGUAAAAGAAACAGAAUUGGAGAAAGGGUAUAUUUAAAAUAAAUUAUUAUGCUACUGGAAGAAGUUAAACUCUCUCCCCCUCUCCCCUCCC